rnacentral:lncRNA from 1 species
CUGGGACUAGAUUUCAGAGGAAAUGGUAGACAUUUAUAGCUGGGAGGCAGGGAGGUGGAAGGAGAGGUUACUGUCCCAGGAGUCCAGGGAAGGAAGAGGCAAUUUUUCAAAAAGUACAAGUGGCCAGUAACCCCAGGGGAAGAUGCUGUCCCUUUCUGGUAAUCAGAAGAAGGCAAACACCACUACAGGGAGAUGGGAUUAGGAAAGAAAGAGAGUAACAAGGCCUGCUAUGGGGGAGGGAAGGGAGGGGGGCGGGCCCUCUUCUGCCGCACUGCUGGUGGGAGGGGAAAUUGGGGACCCGAGUUGGUGGAUGACGUAGGUCUCACGUGACCAAGAGCUGACGUGUGCAGAAGUCCUUCUUGUUCUGGUCGUUGUUCCCGUCUGAGUAUCAGCUCCCCAUUGCCCCGAAGGCCAGCGGGCCUGCAGCAGAGGAAAGGAGGAGAAGAAGGAGAUUGUCCCGGAUCCGUGCAGGUCUGCUGUAGCAGGUGGCACCAGUUUAAACGAGGGAGGAAGUUUCCUCGGAUCAGUAGAGGUUGCAAGGGUUGUUGGGCGUGGCACACCUCCAGGGGAGGGAAGAAGGGGCAAACUGCUUGUCUGGAGGAGAGGACAACACAAGGAGAAGAGAAACUCCACCCCUAGGUCCACCUCCAGAAUCAGUUGUCGUGGCCUUGAAGUGGCUGAAGACGAUCAUCCUCCACAGGCCUGCAUCCAGGCCAGGCCCAUAGCCCUCCUCCCCCAGCCUGAGUGACUACUCUGUUCCUUGGUCCCUG